CAGAGACAGUUUUAACUUAGCCAUUCCUAAUUUAUCUCAAGCGUUUUCAAUUCAUCUUCACUGCUCUGUGCACACAGGAACAGCAGAUUGCCAUCCCUGGGGAACAGAACGCAACCGGGGAUCUAGAGAGCUGUCACAUUCCAAGAAAUAUUUAAAUUGUGCUGGUUUUCUUCUGGAGAGCUGAGCCCAGGGAAUGAAAACUCUCCAUCCAGUCGUAGCUUUGCGGGCAAUAGAUCAGAGGAUAUUGCCAGGCUCCUAAUGGAUUAUUGUUAUCGGGCAGGUUUUCUCUGAAGAGUCCUGAUGUCUCCCAGAUCCUAGGCUAAUAUCCAAAGGGAUUGGAGGUCAGAUCAGUUGUACACACAAAGCCACUUUGGAUCUGUCUCCAAAACGGGAACUCCCUUCACAGAAUGCUACAACAAGGUUGAAGCAUCAGUCCAUCUGGUAAGAGAGAGAUACGUUUCAUUUCUUUUCUAUGGUAAGAAUUAAAUACAUGAUCCUUUCAGACAGUAGUGGUCUGACAGGGAGCAGAAGCUCUGAGUUAAAAGUUACAAAAUGUUUUCUGCUUUAAGAUUAUUUUCAUGAUGUCUUUUACCUUAUAUUGUAGCAGAAAAAUAAGAACACUAAGUUCUGUUUGUCACGCUAAAAUUGUAUCGGAAGUAGAGAAAACUAGAGCUCCUCAAGUGAUGAAUGGAUGUGUGUUUAUGUGAUGCUUAAUACUAUAACUCUGGUCAAGAUGAAGACUAUUGAAACUAUAGCGAUUUAAUCUGUGUGUUUAUGUUUUCCUCUAUCCAAUAUUGUAGUGAAUGAUCACCCACUCACCACCAAUAAGUAUGCCUUCGGGAUUAGUGACAAACUUUUGGAGCUUUCUAAUUUCCUUCAUUUUCAGAAUGGGGAAAGCUGUAGAUAAGAACGCUGGUGAAUUUGUUUAUAUAUGGAUUUUCCUUUUAACACUAAAGGACCAAAUGUGUCUAAGUGGGCAAUGUGUAUGGUUUGUCGUUCUUAUCUUCCGACCUGUACUGCUAAUCAAUAAGUACACAAAAAGCUCUACACAUUAUCAGCUGUCCAUGAAGUCAUCUGUAUCACAAGAAAAAAAUCAGUAUGCAUUUAUAUAUUCACAUGUGUAUAUAUUGAUAUAUAUUAUAUGUGUCUACACACGUGUGUGUGCCCAUGAAGGUAAAUAUAUUUAUUCAAGUAAAUUUCAUAGGUGAGUGUAUAUGCAGAAUUGUAUGUGAACCUUUGCACUUAAUUACACAAUGACGUGUAUAUAAUAUCUCAUUUACAUGCUAUAACAAUGUAAAUCCACAUAGACUACUGGCUUUCUGUUUUCAAUUUUGUAACUCCACUCUUUUAACUAAGCAUUAACUUAGAAACACUGAUAUGAAUUUCAAAAGAAAUAAGAGCUGCAUUUGAAUAUAAAUCCAAUCUGUCAAUUUUAUUUAGUUUGGCUACUCAAUUCCAUCCAUAGUUAUGUGUCCAUCUAGUUUGAAUGGAAUCCUUUUAUGAUUUAUACACCAGAAUAUCAUUCCUAGCUACAAAAUAUAAUUUGCAAUGACUAAGUCAUGUAAGCACAUACACAAAUGCACAUAUAUGUACAUACAUACAUGCACACAUGUAAACUCACACCUGGAUUCCAAAGAUAGAAAAUUGCAAGCACAGCAAAUGAGUCACAGUGCGAAUCUGCUGCUAUAGAACCUUGCAGGCUUUUAGACUCUCACACUUUGACUUUUGCUAGCCAUGUCAACGGUACUAAUAUUGCCUUGUGUCCACACUCUCUACUUCUCCCUUCUGCUCCAAAUGUCAAGUUCACUGUAUAUAGCUCUCUCUUAUCUCCAGUCUCAGACAUGAUCCUGGUAAAAACAUAUUUUCCCAAUUUUCUUAUCA